AUGCGCGUGCGCAGUGUGUUUCCACUGUUUUUCUGGGCGGUGACCGCGGAAGCUGAGGGGGACAAAAGCGAGCGCCAGGCGGAAGAGAGGAGGAAGCUUCCUGAAGAAAGGAUUGUACUUACCCUUUGUUCAACUCUGCUGCGAAGAAGUUCAGAGAGAAUGCAGAACCUAUAAACUCUCUCCAUCUUGAUGGACGGCCUGCCAACAUCCAGUACAUGAAGUGACUUUCAGAGUCCACGAGGAAUUCUAAGACGAAAUGGAUCUUAGAGCCAGACCUGAAUGACGCAAGGAACACUCCUUGGCAAACAGGAUGAAAGGCAAGUGUUGGGGGGAGGGUGGAAAUGGAGAGGGCACAGCCAGGAGCAGGUGGAGGGGGCAGAGUGUUCUGUGGAGGCCUGGAGGUACCUGGUUAAGGAUCAGACUGACAAGUCCUCAAUUUUGUGAUGUUUAGCCCAUUUUCAACUUAAAGAAAGCUGGGCUGUCAAUACAAAUCAAAAAAGCCAUUUGUCUUCUUUAUCCUUCUACCAGUUUUAUCUGAGAGAAAAAAAAUCUGUAUGUUAUUUGGAGGGCAAGGACCAAAGUAAUUUUCACAAGGAUUCAGCCACCUGUAGAAAACAAGUGUCUAUUCCUAAAGGUUCUGAAAAGUGGAAUCUAACCUUUCUGAUGGGCCGGUUUGAUAUGUUUGCGCACUUUUCUCUGGGUUGUAGGGCUGCUUGAUGUUAGGUGCUGGUAGCAUUGGGAGGUAAGAGAGUACAGGACAGAGGAAGCUAAGAGGCAUGUCGCAUCUGAGAAAUCCUUCUGCAAAACUUUAGGGGUGCAUUUCCCCUCAGCAUCUGCCGUGGAAGGAAGGAUGCCUCCACGGAGGGAGAAUGCCUCCUUGAACGGAAAAUGGGGCGCUCCAGGCUACUGCGCCUCUGCCAGUUGCUUCCUCCGCAGCUUGAGCAGUGAUAGGGAGCUGUGUGGGGGCAGGAAAGCCUCAAAGCCAGCCAAGAGGAAGAAAGUUAGAGCCGGGUGUAUUUUUUCAGUUUCCUGCUCAUCGCCUGCUUUGUUGAAGGCAAGCUGAGCUAAG